UUUGAAAUCUGGCAGUCUUCGAUUGUCCGAGUUGUAAUCUAUAGAGGCGUUUUCCGUGCCGGACCGUGUCCAAGUCUCCUGGAAAGGAGUAUCAAAGAGGGUGAUAAUCCCGUACUUAACACGACCACCGGUGCUCUGUGAUACGUCUUCUACGAGUCGAGUUGUUUGGGAAUGCAGCUCAAAAUGGGUGGUGAAUUCCAUCUAAAGCUAAAUAUUGGCGAGAGACCGAUAGCGAACAAGUACCGUGAGGGAAAGAUGAAAAGCACUUUGGAAAGAGAGUUAAACAGUACGUGAAAUUGUUGAAAGGGAAACGAUUGAAGUCAGUCGUGUUCUUUGGAUUCAGCCAGUUCUGCUGGUCUACUUCCUUGGAACGGGUCAACAUCAGUUUUGUCCGGUGGAUAAAGGUAGUAGGAAUGUGACUUCCCCGGAAGUGUUAUAGCCUAUUAUCACAUACACUGGGUGAGACUGAGGACUGCAGCUCACCUUUAUGGCCGGUCUUCGGACACGUUCGAGCUUAGGAUGUUGACAUAAUAGG
rnacentral:rRNA from 1 species